rnacentral:rRNA from 1 species
GACGAACGCUGGCGGCGUGCUUAACACAUGCAAGUCGCACGAAGUGGCUAACUUGUGAGUAAUUCGUGGGUACCCUGCCCUCCUUUUUGGUAUAAGCCUUGGAAAAGGGGUCUAAUUCCCUAUACAUGUGGAUGGGCUCGCGGCCUAUCAGCUUGUUGGUGGGUAGAUGGCCUAUCAAGGCGUUGCCGCGUACCCGGACUGAGAGGGUGACUGGCAACAUUGGGACGGAGAUACGGACCAGACACCGACGGGAGGGAGCAGUGGGGGAAUGUGGACAAUGGGCGAAAGGCUGAUGCGGCGACGCCGCGAGGGGGAUGAAGGCGUUCGGGUUGGAAACCUAUUUCGCUAUCGAACGGGUAGGUGGAGAAGAAGCGCCGGCUAACUACGUGCCAGCCGCCGCGGUAAUUC